UACGUAGGGUGCAAGCGUUAAUCGGAAUUACUGGGCGUAAAGCGUGCGCAGGCGGUUUUGUAAGUCUGUCGUGAAAGCCCCGGGCUCAACCUGGGAAUUGUGAUGGAGACUGCAAGGCUUGAAUCUGGCAGAGGGGGGGUAGAAUUCCACGUGUAGCAGUGAAAUGCGUAGAGAUGUGGAGGAACACCGAUGGCGAAGGCAGCCCCCCUGGGUCAAGAUUGACGCUCAUGCACGAAAGCGUGGGGAGCAAACAGGG
rnacentral:rRNA from 1 species